AUAUACACACACUUCUUUAAGUAUUUCAUUGCUGAUGAACAUUUAGUUGUUUCCAGUUUUGGACUAUGAUUAAUAAUGCUUGGUGAAUAUUACUGAACUUCUCAUGUGGUGCACAUGUGUGCAUUUCUUUCGGGUCCAAAAGCUUCCAGGAUAUAACAGCUCAAAGCAGAGAACAAUACAGAAUGGCUCCAGAGGACCAAACAGAAGACAUCCA
rnacentral:lncRNA from 1 species